CUGUGCCACAGACAAUGAAAUCGAUGGAUCGACACUUCUGCAGAUGACUGAAAGAAUGAGUGAGCGUCUUUUUCCAAAAGUGAAAGACCAAGUGAAAUUUUUGUCUGCUGUAGAGAAGCUGAAAGAUGGAAGGCAACACAAAGAAAAGCAUACUGUGUCAGCACUCCAACCUAUGUUUAACUGCAAAGUGCAGUUUCCUCCAGCUGUGCUCACUGCGUUGACCAAUAAAGAUGCAGCACUAAAGUCACCCACCAAGAACAGACUCAAAAACAUGCUUAUUCAAGCACUGUUUGACCACUUGAGUAAUGAGACAAUGUAUCCCUCUCAUGUGCAGUAUGUAGAGCUUCUGAGGACUGUCCUUCUGAGUUUUCCUUUUUUGAAGGAGAGUUAUGGCUCUGGAUAUGUAAGUACUCCUGAAAAGCAAACAUUGAUACAAUUGUCCAACAAAUUGUCUUUGAAUUGCCCAAUUAUUGGCUAAUGAGUGUAACAUGCUAACAUUUUCAUUGUUACAUAUUCAGAGGUUAUCUGUUCCCUUGUGGCCACUACAAUACAAGUAUUAGUAUUGUGAUUUUUGAGGCAGAUGUCGUGCAGUAUGGUCAAACAAUAAAUAAAAUAUCAAUUGCUCUUUUAAAUUAAUUGUUUCAUUUCUCUGUGAAUUCUCAAGUGAAUGGUGUGAAAUUCAGCAUUAUAUUAGCUCUGUUUGCCUUUGUAUCAGGAUAGUGUAGUUUUUGUAUUUAAAAAAUUAAAUUUGAAAAUAGGG